GACGAACGCUGGCGGCGUGCUUAACACAUGCAAGUCGAACGGAAAGGCCCUGCUUUUGUGGGGUGCUCGAGUGGCGAACGGGUGAGUAACACGUGAGUAACCUGCCCUUGACUUUGGGAUAACUUCAGGAAACUGGGGCUAAUACCGGAUAGGAGCUUCUGCUGCAUGGUGGGGGUUGGACAGUUUCGGCGGUUGGGGAUGGACUCGCGGCUUAUCAGCUUGUUGGUGGGGUAGUGGCUUACCAAGGCUUUGACAGGUAGCCGGCCUGAGAGGGGGACCGGCCAAACUGGGACUGAGAUGAGGCACAGACUCCAACGGGAGGCAGAAGUGCGGAAGAUUGCACAGUGGGCGGAAGGCUGGUGCAGCAACGCCGCGUGGGGGAUGACGGCAUUCGGGUAGUAAACCACUUCCGCCUGUGACGAAGCGUGAGUGACGGUAAUGGGUAAAGAAGCACCGGCUAACUACGUG
rnacentral:rRNA from 1 species